UACGUAGGGUGCGAGCGUUGUCCGGAAUUACUGGGCGUAAAGAGCUCGUAGGUGGUUUGUCGCGUUUGUCCGUGAAAACCUGCAGCUUAACUGUGGGCUUGCGGUCGAUACGGGCAAACUAGAGUGCGGUAGGGGAGAUUGGAAUUCCUGGUGUAGCGGUGGAAUGCGCAGAUAUCAGGAGGAACACCGAUGGCGAAGGCAGAUCUCUGGGCCGUAACUGACGCUGAGGAGCGAAAGCGUGGGGAGCGAACAGG
rnacentral:rRNA from 1 species